rnacentral:rRNA from 1 species
UGGCCAGACUCCUACGGGAGGCAGCAGUGAGGAAUAUUGGUCAAUGGCCGAGAGGCUGAACCAGCCAAGUCGCGUGAGGGAUGACGGCCCUACGGGUUGUAAACCUCUUUUGCCGGGGAGCAAAGAGCGGGACGCGUCCCGCCUCGAGAGUACCCGGAGAAAAAGCAUCGGCUAACUACGUGCCAGCAGCCGCGGUAAUACGUAGGUGGCAAGCGUUAUCCGGAUUUAUUGGGUGUAAAGGGCGUGUAGGCGGGAAUGCAAGUCAGAUGUGAAAACUCAGGGCUCAACCCUGAGCCUGCAUUUGAAACUGUGUUUCUUGAGUGCUGGAGAGGCAAUCGGAAUUCCGUGUGUAGCGGUGAAAUGCGUAGAUAUACGGAGGAACACCAGUGGCGAAGGCGGAUUGCUGGACAGUAACUGACGCUGAGGCGCGAAAGCGUGGGGAGCAAACAGGAUUAGAUACCCGCGUACU